ensembl:lncRNA
AUUUAUAACAGAAAUUUGCCAAAGUAGCCUUUUCUUCGGGGCUACUAAACUAGUAAAGCAGAGACUGUGCGUAAAGGAGAGAAUCCCACACAUGCGCAGAAGCUUUGGAUUUAGUUGUCGGAAAAUGGUUCUAGAGAAUUCGGAUAUGCAGCCACUCUGUAUUUUGAAACUUUUCUUAAUCGUCUCAGGGGUACAAUCCUUGAUUCUGUUUCAUUCCCCCCCAGAUAAAUGGCAGCUCUGCUUUUUGGUUUGCUAAAAAGCUGCUGACAGACGUGACUGAAGAAAUGUAAUAAGUGGGUAACAUUCAUUGAAAUUACCAUUGAACAGCUGUACAUAUUGCAGAUUUCACCUUUAAAAAAUGAUUGACACUUUCUUUAGAAAUAUAUGAAAUGUACCAGUGAUCAGUUGUAUGAACACCCAUCCACCAACAUGCUAGCAGUGCUAAUUUACAUUAAGUUAUAAAAAGACUGACAUUGUUAGGGCCAACAGGAACCGGCGACCAUCGCACCACUUUGUAAAGAUGAGCAUGUCAGGUGGGACUUGGACAGUCAAAACUGGGGAUGACGAGACGACACUGCUAUUCUUAGCUUUUUUGUUCAGUGUUGAGAGAAGAAUUGGGACCCUACUUUCACCUCCACUACCACCCUAUAACCAGGCCACGAACGCCAGACUGCCAGCCACCAAAGUAGUUCUCAUUAUUACGAGAUGUGGAAGAUCAAACUUGUUUUAUAUUCCUACUGUGCAGGGUAACUAAGGAAUAAGCUAUGUGGAUGGAAGCCAUCGCAGCCUUGAAAUGCUUUCAAACAUCUGGUCGGACAACAAGGCCAGCAUCGUGUUCACUAGGCACCGGAUGGAACACAAUGGACUGAAACAGGGAGGGAUUUCCUGGCCUUGCCCCAGGAAAUUCCAGACUGACCUGGAAUUUGAAUUGAAUUAAAUGGAAUGUACAGGGAGCGAGAACUGAAUGAAAAUGCAAUUUGUGGAAUUGACACCAACCCUUGUACAGUGUGAUACUUUAUCCUCAACUGCAAUUAAAACAAAAUGUAAUUGAGCUCAUUAACU